AGUACCUCUACCAUGAGUUGACGUAGUUAUGACAUCUUACUCUACUACAGUAGUAAAUGUGACAACGCAACUACAAUAGAUGGCUUCAAUGUUCGUACCAUGAGAUGUUUUGAUGUUAACUACCCUCGCUAUAGUUGAAUCUAUAUCGUUCGUAGUAUCGUUCAUUAUGUAUCUAACUUUAAGCAUCGUAGUUCUAACUCUUUUUAUUCACAUCACUUAGAAAGAGAGAAAAUACUGUUUAUGUUUCAAAUCUAAACGGUGAUAUUAACCAACAAAAAAAUAUAAUACAUCGGUUACACAUAAUUUGGUAUAUUGUGAGCAUUUUUAAUUUAUUAGUAUUGCUUUGACAUUGAUUGUCAGCCGGACAUUUUUGUAACAUGUGUGUUUCUGUGACAAACCGGGAGUGCGAAAACAUAUUAUUUGUUAAAUUAUUUAAAUAAAUGCCUAAGAGAAGUGCAACUCAAUUUGAGACGAUGCCGAUGGUAGAUUUUUUGGAAAGAAAUGGAGACCUAAGCAAAACCUAUGUCCGCUACAUGGGCGAGAGUAGGCGUCAGCGCAGUCUGAAGCAGCCUUCAAGGACUGCUACAUGGUGGGACCUGUCGUAAAUAUAGCAGUAAGUGCGGUGAAUCCGCGAGGGCAACCAUCCCCAGAGAAGCUUCAUUCCAGUGGAAUACCUACACAGCCUGACAACAUGAAAUGUGGUGAUGUAACUUCUGCAACAAGCUCGAUGGAUGGCAAGACUUGUUGUAGCAACUUCUGUUAAAUAAAUAAAUAAACAUAUUUUUUCAAUG